UCUCCGUUGGUGAACCAGCGGAGGGAUCAUUAUCGAGUUUAUAACUCCCAAACCCUAUGUGAACUUACCACUUGUUGCUUCGGCGCGCGCUUCGGCGCCGCCGAGGACACUUAAACUCUUUGUUUUUAUAAGCAUUUCUGAGUGGCCGAAAGGCAAAAUACAAAUGAAUCAAAACUUUCAACAACGGAUCUCUUGGUUCUGGCAUCGAUGAGAACGCAGC
rnacentral:misc_RNA from 1 species